rnacentral:rRNA from 1 species
GAUGAACGCUGGCGGCGUGCCUAAUACAUGCAAGUCGAGCGAACGGACGCGAAGUUUGUUUCUCUGUUGUUUGCGGCGGUUGUGUGAGUAACACGUGGAUAACCUACCUAUAAGACUGGGAUAACUUCGGGAAACCGUAGCUAAUACCGGAUAAUAUUUUGAACCGCAUGGUUCAAAAGUGAAAGACGGUCUUGCUGUCACUUAUAGAUGGAUCCGCGCUGCAUUAGCUAGUUGGUAAGGUAACGGCUUAGCAAGGCAACGAUGCAUAGCCGACGUGAGAGGGUGGAGGCCCAACCCGGAGCUUAGUCUGCGUCCAUACUACUAGUGGACGUACCGGUAGUGAAUGUUCCGCAGUAGUCGAGAACCUGACAGAGCAAGCCCACGUCAGUGAUGAAGGCCCCCGGUUCGUAAAACUCUGUUUUGAGGGAUGAACAUAUGUCUAAGUAACUGUGCACAUCUUGGCGGUACCUAAUCAGGAAGCCACGGCUAACUACGUG